AGAUCACCGAAGUCAAGCAUCAUUGGGCGCGGUCAGUACUUGGGUGGGUGACCACCUGGGAACACCGCGUGCCGUU